rnacentral:rRNA from 1 species
UGCAGUCGAGCGGACAGAUGGGAGCUUGCUCCCUGAUGUUAGCGGCGGACGGGUGAGUAACACGUGGGUAACCUGCCUGUAAGACUGGGAUAACUCCGGGAAACCGGGGCUAAUACCGGAUGGUUGUUUGAACCGCAUGGUUCAAACAUAAAAGGUGGCUUCGGCUACCACUUACAGAUGGACCCGCGGCGCAUUAGCUAGUUGGUGAGGUAACGGCUCACCAAGGCAACGAUGCGUAGCCGACCUGAGAGGGUGAUCGGCCACACUGGGACUGAGACACGGCCCAGACUCCUACGGGAGGCAGCAGUAGGGAAUCUUCCGCAAUGGACGAAAGUCUGACGGAGCAACGCCGCGUGAGUGAUGAAGGUUUUCGGAUCGUAAAGCUCUGUUGUUAGGGAAGAACAAGUACCGUUCGAAUAGGGCGGUACCUUGACGGUACCUAACCAGAAAGCCACGGCUAACUACGUGCCAGCAGCCGCGGUAAUACGUAGGUGGCAAGCGUUGUCCGGAAUUAUUGGGCGUAAAGGGCUCGCAGGCGGUUUCUUAAGUCUGAUGUGAAAGCCCCCGGCUCAACCGGGGAGGGUCAUUGGAAACUGGGGAACUUGAGUGCAGAAGAGGAGAGUGGAAUUCCACGUGUAGCGGUGAAAUGCGUAGAGAUGUGGAGGAACACCAGUGGCGAAGGCGACUCUCUGGUCUGUAACUGACGCUGAGGAGCGAAAGCGUGGGGAGCGAACAGGAUUAGAUACCCUGGUAGUCCACGCCGUAAACGAUGAGUGCUAAGUGUUAGGGGGUUUCCGCCCCUUAGUGCUGCAGCUAACGCAUUAAGCACUCCGCCUGGGGAGUACGGUCGCAAGACUGAAACUCAAAGGAAUUGACGGGGGCCC